rnacentral:pre_miRNA from 11 species
GUACAGUUGGAAGGGGGGCCGUUACACUGUAAGAGAGUGAGUAGCAGGUCUCACAGUGAACCGGUCUCUUUUCCUACUGUGUCACAUCUCUCC